CUCAUGCCAAACUCUCAUCUGCAUCUUGUGAACAGAUAGUUUGCUGUUGUAAUGAGUGAUGUUGGAAAGAGCACAGUGCCGGACAUGUAAUGGAUGCUGGAUGAAUGUCAGAUCUCAUGGACAUGCCAAGCCAGCAACAAUUCUGAGAAGGUAUCCCAAUGUGUAAAGAUAAUGUUGACUAGAGUCUUGGGGACAAAGAAGUUGGUAUGCCAGUUCCUGGGUCACAGACCAUGACUGUAUGGCAGAACUCAAGAGAAAGACUGUCCAUCACAGAUUUUAGUUACUUCCUGGGAAGAGCAUAUGGAUAUAGCCUCCAAAGCCUGCACCUUCCACCAACUGAUGUUCAACAUUUUUGAGAGGUGUUUUUGAGCUUUGUUUGAAAGUUAAAAGUCUGCUGAUAGGAAUAAGAAAACCCUGAUGGCUCAUAAUCACAAGAUCCAAAUGAAACCCCCACAUUUUAUUCUCUCCUCUUGUCUCAAACUUUCUUUAGAGCCAUUAAUGUACCCGUGAUGGGCUUAGAACAAUGCUCUGAGUGUGUAUAAAUGAAUAACUGCUCACAACAGGCCUAAUGGCACUAUGAGCAGGAAUUAAAAUUAGUCUCCUUUCUGUGAGGCUUUGAAGGCCUUUGACUGGCUUUGUUUCAAAUAGACUAAUUGUAGUGUGUUGUACCUACAGAGAUCAGAGUCUCUAUCUACAUGAGGAUGAUGAUAAAAUGUUAGAAAUGGAGGCAGUGAUUUUGAGACAUUGUGAGUGAAAUUAAUCCCAUGGGUUGGUAUGCUUAAAGUGGUUAAAAUAACAAACUUUGUUAAAUGAGUUUAUUUCAACUUAAAAAGUGGAAUAUAUAAGAAGCUGUUGAAUUCUGUACUUUAAAUGGGUGAAUUAUAUGGCAUGCCAAUAAUAUGUAAUAUAUUAUUAUAUAUUAAUAAAGCUGCUUUGGGAAAAUAUA